CCCCUCGAAGAGGCGAAGAAGGCCCUGCGAUUAUCGCUCUUCUCGCUCCGUCAGUCAUCGUCCCCAAAACUCAGGGUUUUAGAGCGCGCAUCCAAAACCCUAACCAUGGCGACUCAGCUCUUCUUCACCCGCUCCCUCCUCCUCUCCAAGCCUCAGCAAGCCCUCGCCUCCCUCCUCUCUCGCUCCCUCUCCUUCUCCUCCGCUCCCGCCGCCGCGCCUCGCUCCCAUCUCUCCCUCCUCCCCUCCCUCCUCCGCCAUCGCCUCCGCCCCCUCCUCUCCGUGGCCUCCGCCGACUUCCGCGGCCCCGCCGCCGCGGCUCCGUACGCCCGCUCUUUCGCGACGAGGUCGACUUCUUCGUCGCUCAACGAUCCGAACCCCAACUGGUCGAACCGCCCACCGAAGGAGACGAUACUGCUCGACGGUUGCGACUUCGAGCACUGGCUCGUCGUAAUGGAGAAGCCGGAGGGCGAUCCUACUAGGGAUGAUAUUAUCGAUAGUUAUAUUAAGACGCUUGCGCAGAUUGUUGGAAGUGAAGAAGAAGCCAGAAUGAAGAUCUACUCAGUUUCAACAAGGCACUAUUAUGCAUUUGGAGCACUUGUAUCUGAAGAGCUUUCUUACAAGCUCAAGGAUUUGCCUAGAGUUCGAUGGGUUCUUCCUGAUUCAUACCUGGAUGUCAAGAAUAAGGAUUAUGGGGGAGAACCUUUUAUUAACGGGCAAGCAGUUCCUUAUGACCCCAAGUACCAUGAAGAAUGGGUGAGAAAUAAUGCUCGAGCUAACGAGAGGAACGGGCAUAAUCGUCGACCCCGUGAUUUCAACGGAUCGAGGAACUCUGAAAGGAGGGAAAAUAUGCAGAAUAGAGAUUUCCAAGCCAGAGACAUGCCACCUAUGCAUAACCAAGGGAUGCAGAACCCUCCACCUCAAGGCAACAUGCCUCCACCAAAUAUGGGUGGUGGAAUGCCCCCACCGAGCAACUUUGGUGGGAUGCCUCCGCACAACCAAGGUGGAAUGCCCCCAAGCAACUAUGGUGGGAUGCCUCCACGUAACCAGGGUGGAAUGCCACCAAACAAUUUUGGUGGGAUGCCUCCGCAAAACAACAUGGGUGGGAUGCCGCAAAACAACAUGGGUGGAAUGCCACCACAAAACAACAUGGGUGGGAUGCCUCCGCAAAACAACAUGGGUGGGAUGCCUCCGCAAAACAACAUGGGUGGGAUGCCACACCAAAACAUGGGCGGAAUGCGGCCCCAGAACAACAUGGGCGGAAUGCCGCCCCAAAACAACAUGGGAGGAAUGCCGCCCCAAAACAACAUGGGUGGACCGCCGUCAAAUAGCAUGGGUGAGAAGCCACCUCAGAGCAAUAUGGGAGGGAUGCCUUACAACAAUAUGGGUGGAAUGCCACCGCAAGACAUGGGGGCUGCUCAGAAUGCUGGAGGCUUUUCACAGAAUCAAGGAUGGUCCAAUACCAUGCCUCAAAGAGAUGCUGGGAAUAUGCCAAACUAUCAGAGCCAGAAUUACACUCCUAGCAGGGACCCGUCAACUGUACCGGGUGGAAAUGCUUAUUAGGUCUAGAGUGUUGGCCUAGAGAAAAAACUUGGAUCGCCGGUCAUGUGAUUUUGAUGUAUAGCUAAAACGGAUGGACCUGCCUGAUGUCAACCAGGUUGCAUCAAGAGACUAGGAGAUGGCUGUGUUGAGGAAGUGUCUACAUUGCACUUUUGCAGUUGAUCCUUUCUAUCUAUGACUUCUUCUCAUUGCUCGGAUUCUCAGUGACAUUAUUUUCGAUGGCUGUAUUCGUUUUGUGGGAAACGCUGCCCUCUAUACUUUUGAGUUCUUGUUAAGCUAUAAAUUUUCCUGUGUGGCUCUGGAUGA